ACUGAAGUGGGUGUUAGAUUUCAAGAUGGUGUUAAAGCUUAUAAAAGGACUUACUACACCCCAGAGUAUGAAACUAAGGAUACUGAUAUCUUGGCAGCAUUCUGAGUAUGUCCUCAGCCUGGGGUUCUGCCCAAAUUAGCAGGGGAUGCAGUAGCUGCCGAAUCUUCUACUCGUACAUGGACAACUGUUAAUGGACCCAUGAAAUACAUUGAGAUUGGAAAGAACACCAAUGGUGACACUCUGCUAGGCGACAAAGAGAGACGGCAAGCAAAUGGGAUUAGAGACCCCAAUAGUCCUAGCAUAAACAAUGAAUACUAG
rnacentral:rRNA from 1 species